UACGGAGGAUGCAAGCGUUAUCCGGAAUUAUUGGGCGUAAAGCGUCCGCAGGUGGCACUUCAAGUCUGCUGUCAAAGACCGGGGCUUAACUUCGGAAAGGCAGUGGAAACUGAACAGCUAGAGUAUGGUAGGGGCAGAGGGAAUUCCUGGUGUAGCGGUGAAAUGCGUAGAGAUCAGGAAGAACAUCGGUGGCGAAGGCGCUCUGCUGGACCAUAACUGACACUCAGGGACGAAAGCUAGGGGAGCGAAUGGG
rnacentral:rRNA from 1 species